UAUAUUGAAAACAAAAUAGUUUACGAAGAAAUACGAUACAUAGAAUAAUUGAAACCAUCGAGUAUGAGAAUACUCGAACCUCGGGAAAAGGUCAAGGUUGGGGACUGUUUCAACACUUCUACAGGCCGAAUACUUGAUUAUUCAACAUUCUACUCGCAUUCUGUCCCUUAAUUCCCCUCGCAUCUCGAAACACAUAUACUAUACAUAUGUAUAGUAUAUGUAUAUGAAUCUUGAAUAUUUUUUUCAUUUUUCUCUUCAAUCAAUGAAUUUAUAUUGAAAACCAUAAAAUUGUACAAGUCCAUAGUCCAUGUUUACACAUAUAUGUAUAUGCAUAGUACAGGUAAUGUAUAUCCUUUGUUUCUUAUUUGAUUUUCAAAUAAACUAUUAUUGUAUACUGGGUUUCAUUAAUCUGUCAGACUUGACAGAUUUCUUCGAAUCACGCGCUCCACACAAAACGGAAACGUACAUACAUCAGGAUUGCCAAUUGUACUUGACAGUAAUUGAAGUUAUUUCAAACAUUUUUGGCCGAUUAAAUGGAACAAAUAUACUAUAGGUGUUAUGUGUGCGUGCGUAUACAGAAAGCUGUAAAACUUGUAGAAAAUGCCUGGCAAUGAGAGAAAUUCCAAGGGUAAAGACGGUUGAGAAAGCGAGGAAGGUAGCAAGAAUUCCAACGUUCCGAGACAUAUCGAACACCUGUAUGCAUAUUUAACUGUGUAUCGAAAUAGAGAUUCAGUCACUCGUGUUUAGCGUUUCUUGUCCGAUGGAUAAUUCUUUGCGACGUAACAAUGUUUACGUUAUUCUUAACUUACUAAGGAGGGAAUAGCUUGACAAAAUUAUAAUAAAACGCUGAUACGAAGAGGGAAUAUGCGCGAGCGCGUAUUGGGAUAAGGAUCGUAUCUGUUGUGUGUCGUUGAUAAUGUGGAAAGUGAAGGUACCGCUCUGGCAAUGACGUUGUGGUAAAUCGUUCAGGUGCAACAUUUCCAUCGGCCGUGUACCAUGCACACAUGCAAGGCCGACUCUAAGUACUUUGGCGCCCAGGGAAACGAUACAAGCCUCCUUUACUCGCUUCUUUCGUGGUAUAUGUAUGACACAUAUGUAUACUGUACAAUACAUUCAGGAUAUUACCAAAACUACGAGACCUCUUAACAAAAUCAAUUCUUUACGAUAAUACGAAAGAAAAAAUCCUUUUCCAUUUUACUAUCAGAAACUUCAUUCUCGAGAUAUAACUGUGUAUGUAAGUUGUUUAAGUUAUCAGGUACAUAGAUAUACAUGUAUACAUAUACAUAUAGUAUAUGAACACGUGGACACGUGUUUCCGAUACGCGAGUACGCAUACGCACAGUCAGCUGACUGAAAUAUGAAUGGUGAGCGGCAACAGUUACGUUAACAACAUUUUACAUUAACGUUACAUUUACAAGUAACAAAGCUUCGGAUCUUAAAGUGGCAAAAAACUUGUUCCAUUCCCUGUUACACCAAGAAUUGAUCCUAAUGUUUUCUAAGAAAAUGUUAACACGUAAAACUCAAACAAGACUUAAAACAAAAGAUAGCAACGUUAAUAUCAGUAUAUCAGUUGAUUCCUUUUUAGAGCCUAGGGGCGCAUAACGUGCCUUGCCUGUUCCUGUUUUGUCACGGCCCUGUACCCAUGUACCCAUACCUCUACCGUGAAUUCAGAUCCUCUGUGAACGUGGCGCACGGCACACCAUAUACGUAUACGACAAAACUUAUGUAAACACACCAGUGAAACCGCUAUAGAACCUAAUUUAACAUCGCUUUAGCGCACCAGUCGUUGCUUCCUCCAUCUACUCACUUUUAUCUGUGUCAGACUUUAUUUACGACCGACCUGUCUACCUCUGUAUUUACAUACUUUGCAAAUGGACUCGUUCGAUUAUACUCAAAGUAUCGAUUGUAAAAAUUGAGUAAUAGUAACUAAGAAAUUUGCGACUUAAGAUGUACGAGAGAAUGUCCACAGAAGGUCGUUCCUUCGUUGUACCCAUCAACGUUUCUAGCGAUUCAGUUAUGCGACACUGAUUAGUUGAUUACCAUGAUAAUUCUUCGACAGGGGAUUACCGAUUGUUCGAUAAACAGAUUAAAAUUCAGGUUAAAGGCAAAGAAUUUGAUCUUUAACUUGAACUUUCGUUAAUGAACACUUUCACUGAUGCUUCGUCGUCGAGGAUACAUUAAUCAGUUCCUCUAUAGAUAUUGUAUAGCGAGUCUCGUUAUACGUACAAUACGAUAUAAAAAUUUGAUAUUUAAAACUCUUGUCGGGAUCUUUAAUAUUUACGCUCCUCUUUUGAUUUCUUCUAGAUUUGCUACUGGUUCGUCGGUAUAAGCGUUAAAAUGAAACCGCUACGCGGUGCUUUUAUUCGUCACUCGGAUAAAAUGUUGCUCAUCUUUGGCUGACUGUUCCUUUCGAAUGAAGCGUCGCGACGCUACGCUUCGAUUUUCUCUUUUUUGAUCACCGUCGCGCGAUGAAAGAUUCCGAUAAGAGGUUAUUCCAUGUGAAAGAAACAAAAGUUUAUUUUUAUUUUACCUAGCGUUCAAUCCAACAGCUUUCGAUCCGCUGUUCGUUAAAUAAAACGUACAAUCUGUAUCUGAAUUAUACAAUAAAAAUUCAUUCGAUCGAACAAGCACCGCGAAUAAAGAGUCUCCGAUACAAGUACGAAGUCGU